AUGCAAGCUGGUGGUGGCCGCAACAUGAUCUAUAUUGUAAUGGGUGACCACAACAUGGUCCAUGUUGCAGUGGGUGACCAAAGACCCACGUGUUACAUGGUUACCACACUACAUGGUUACCGCACAAGCACAACACGACUGAUGUUUCAAAGCCCCGAGUGCAACAUGAUCCAUGUUGCAAAUGGCUACGGCUCACACGACGGUAAUCAGACGGCUGCCAUGGAUACCAUCCAACAGUACAAAGGCGAGCGAUGUGAUUCCAUUAUCACCCGGCCGAAGCGUGGCGCCAUCCUUAAUAUUUUGAAGAAAACGUAUGGAAAACCUUAG
rnacentral:rRNA from 1 species